rnacentral:tRNA from 1 species
GCGUCGGUAGCACAGUGGUAAGUACGCUCGCCAGCCACGCAUAUGGUCCUGGGUUCGAUUCCCGGCCGACACA